rnacentral:siRNA from 1 species
AGCCGUAUCAAGGACGUUGCCA